rnacentral:rRNA from 1 species
UACGUAGGUGGCAAGCGUUGUCCGGAUUUAUUGGGUUUAAAGGGUGCGCAGGCGGCUUUGUAAGUCAGUGGUGAAAUACUCUAGCUUAACUAGAGGGGUGCCAUUGAUACUGCGGAGCUUGAGUACAGAUGAGGUAGGCGGAAUUGACGGUGUAGCGGUGAAAUGCAUAGAUAUCGUCAAGAACACCGAUAGCGAAGGCAGCUUACUGGGCUGUAACUGACGCUGAUGCACGAAAGUGUGGGGAUCAAACAGG